GGAGCAUGCCUGUUUGAGUGUCAUUUAAACUCUCAAACCACAUCAUUUGUUUGACGUGGCUUUGGACGUGGGGGUUGCUGGCUUUCUUCUCAGAGAGGCCUGCUCCUCUGAAAUGCAUUAGUGGKAUCUGAAGUGGAAAACCGCUAGGUGUGAUAAUACUGUCUAUGCCUUUGGUUUAUGCCGCAUGUGCUGCUUCCAACCGUACAUUUUUUGUGCUUUUGACAAACUUGACCUCAAAUCAGGUAGGACUACCCGCUGAACUUAAGCAUAUCAAUAAGCGGAGGAAAAGAAACUAACAAGGAUUCCCCUAGUAACUGCGAGUGAAGCGGGAAGAGCUCAAAUUUGAAAUCUGGCGGUCCUUGGCCGUCCGAGUUGUAAUCUAGAGAAGUGCUACCUGUGCUGGACCGUGUACAAGUCUCCUGGAAUGGAGCAUCGCAGAGGGUGAGAAUCCCGUCUUUGACACGGACUGCCAUGUGCGUUAUGGUGCGCUCUCGAAGAGUCGAGUUGUUUGGGAAUGCAGCUCAAAAUGGGUGGUAAAUGCCAUCUAAAGCUAAAUAUUGCCGAGAGACCGAUAGCGAACAAGUACGUGGAGGGAAAGAUGAAAAGAACUUUGGAAAGAGAG
rnacentral:rRNA from 1 species